AUUGCUGUAAAACCGAAUUUUAAGUUUACAGAUUAUUUGUUGUUGUUUAUUCGUUUCUUGUGAGCACCAUAACAAAAGCAUCCGGUUUUAAGACUAAAUGGUUAUUGAUGAAGACUAAUAUGCUCUGAUUUCUCUCUUGUAACGUCUCAGGAGAAACUUAUCCGCGUGGUAACACGCCCUUUGUGGUUUUUGAUACUUACCGGAGAACACAACAAAAAAGACAGAGCCUACACUUAAGGAUACGAGUCUUAAACCUCAACCUUAGUAGUUAAAAUCGUGGUACUUUUAGUGAAAUGAUUUAUUGAAGGAAGCGCGUAAAAAGAAUAAUCCCUGGGUACGCACGAUCUUAUGUUUGUGAUUCACACACUUAAACAGCUGCGCGUGACACGUUCAAACUAUCUUAUCUAAUCUAAACUAAACGGCGCUCGAAACUGAUUUAUCGAUAAAAAGAAGCUUAAUUACCUACAAGACAAAAUUGAACAGCUAUUUACUAGGACUUGCGUGAAAGCAGAUGUUUAAAUGAAUUGAGACAUUGCCAACAUAAAUGGCGCCGGCGCGAACAUUCCGCAACGUUGUGGCGCGCCAUUCAUAAACUACACUAGGGCUGCCCUGCGGCCUACGUAUAAUCGCUCAGAAGCCUAAACAAUUGACCUAGACGUGGCGAGAUAUUGCCGAUAGAUGUGUCUUUCUCGGUGAGGCGGUAGGGCUUCAAUACAGUGUCAACGUUAGUUGUCAUUAUCGAAUUCGCAACUGGAGUGGAAGUUCGUUCCAGGUCGUGACAGCCCUAAGGCGAACGCAUUACUGGCUAAAUUAGACAGGAAUUCGAUAUUAAUCGCUUUGCUCAAUAAAUCAAGAUUACGAGCAGAAGCAUGAAGUACAUCAAGAUGGCCGCGGUGGAUGCACUUCAGCGGUUGUGACGUCGCUCGCCCCCACGCCACGUCAAUGAUCACGUCAGCAACGGAUACACAGUUUGUUAUACACAUGCCUCACUUGUGUAUAACAAACUGUGUACUAAUAAUAAUAAGGGCAGGGCACCCUAAUACUUGCCCUGUAUUUGGGUGCCCUCGGUGUCCCUGACGCGGACAAAGGAUCACCAUUAAAGCAAGUCGAGUGCCAACAAAUUCAAGUUCAAGUAUGCCCCGCAUCGGGUCGUAAUAAUAAAUUUAUUUUUAAGGGAUUUUAUCUAGUUUAUUGCAUAUAUUUUGAUUGUCAUCUGUCAUCGUUUCUAGCAGUAUUUGAUAUAAAAAUGUAUUCUCUUACGCGACACUAACUCCGGUCAUUCCUUUUUUCAAUAUUCGAAAUAAUUUGCUAAUAAUUUUGUUCUUAUUCUUUUAAUAAGCUUCGUGAAAUACAUCGUGUAUUUUUAUCUAA